CGGAGAGUAUGUCUCAGUAGCACGUGGUUAAUCUGCCUUGGGAUGGAGAUAACCCUGGGAAACUGGGGCUAAUAACUUAUAGGCGCAGAGGCCUGGAAUGGUUCUGCACUGAAAGGCUCGAGAACAUGCUCUCGAGGUCGCCAAUGAUGAGACUGCGGCCGAUCAGGUUGUUGGUGGGGUAAUGGCCUACCAAGCCUAUAACCGGUACGGGCUCUGAGAGGAGGGGCUUUGAGAUGGGAACUGAGACAAGGUCCCAGGUCCUACUGGGCGCAGCAGGUGCUAAAACUCCACAAUGCGCGACAGCGCGAUGGGGUUAACCCGAGUGCUGUCCGAUGAGGACGGCUUUUCCUCAGUGUAAGGAGCUGGGGGAAUAAAGGGGGGGCAAGUCUGGUGUCAGCCGCCGCGGUAAUACCAGCCCCCUGAGUGGUAGGGACGAUUAUUUUGGCUAAAGCGUCCGUAGCCGGCUUGGCAAGUCUUUCGUUAAAUCCGACGAUUCAAUCGUUGGGCCGCGGAAGAUACUACUAGGCUUGAGGACGGGAGAGGUUGACGGUAGUCCCAGGGUAGGGGUGAAAUCCUAUAAUCCUGGGAGGACCACCAGUGUCGAAGGCGUUCGACUAGAACGUGCCUGACGGUGAUGGACGAAAGCUGGGGGAGCGAACCGGAUUAGACACCCGGGUAGUCCCAGCAGUAAACGAUGCGAGCUAGGUGUUGGGGUAGCUACGAGCUACUCCAGUGCCGCAGAGAAGUCUUUAAGCUCACCGCCUGGGAAGUACGACCGUAAGGCUGAUUUUAUACGCCA
rnacentral:rRNA from 1 species